rfam:Candidatus Melainabacteria bacterium RIFCSPLOWO2_12_FTLL_35_11 rifcsplowo2_12_scaffold_128, whole genome shotgun sequence.
AUUAAUACUUGCAUUUUGCCAAAGAAAGUUAGGAACGCCUCAGGCGCUUUAAAAGAAAACCUAACCGAGGUAGAUUAAAAAUAAUUUACUUUUCUUUGGCCUCACUAUUUACAGUGAGGCUUUUUGUUAAUUAAU